GCUAGUAGCAUUAUGGAAAUGAAAUACCCUUCUGAACUUCUUCCCUCGGAUUCGAAGCUCUCAACUCCUUUUGUUCCCUUCUCUCUAAAAAAAAAACAAACUUAUUGAAAAAAAAGAAGGAAAAAACAAAACCAGAGUUAUUAGGCCCAACGACGAAUCGGCAAGGCACUGUGUGCAAUCGUUAGUUGGAAUUUAAGUACGAAUCUCUCUUUUCAUAUUAUCAUCUCCUUUCUUCUCAUUCUCUCACACUUUUCUCUUUGUUUUUUUCUCUAUACAAAAAGUUCAAAACAAAAUGUUAACGUGACUUAAUAGUAACCGUUUAAAAUUUCUCUUGACCACCAUUUUAGGCGCCGAUUCUAGCUUCGGUUAGAGUCGGUUGCCACUUUUUCUUUUCCUUUGUUUUCUCCUUUUUUUCCCUUCUUUGCUGCUUUUUCCCCCUCAUCCUCAUCUUGAUUUGCCCUCUUCUUCUUCCCUUGUUGUCAUCCCUCUUCCUCCUUCAUCUGCGUUUCGAUCUUUAGCCACACUUGCGUUCGAGUUGGUGCUAUGAGUUUCGGUGUUUCGAUCGACUCAGGGAGCAGAUCAGUGCUGGAUGAUACGAUCAAAGAGGUGAUGUUUAGCGGUGGGCAUGGAUUUCUGCAGGUUGAGAUGCACUGUCUUGGAGGAGGCGGUAGUAGCGGACUUCUUGACUUUUGUUUGUUUUUUCUGUUUUUGGGUCUUAGCUGUUUGGUUGGGCUUUUUGUUAGUUUAGGGUUUGGCCCGUGUUUUUCUAUUUUCCAGUUAUAGUCCUUUUUGGGUAGUAGCGGACUUCUCGGCUUUUGUUUGUUUUUUCUGUUUUUGGGUCUUAGCUGUUUGGUUGGACUUCUCGGCUUGUGUUGUGUGUUUAAUAAAAUUUCCUGGUGAUCUUUUUGGAUCCCACUUGACCAAAAAAAAUA